CCUAGCCCCCCACCCACCCCGGCCACCACACACCACCCAGCAGGCACCAAUGAAUCGGUGACCUCAAGCUCCCACGAGGGAGAGCGCGGGAUGCUCCUCCGCCUCCCAUGUUGAUGUGCGGACGAGCGCGAUGGCCCCUACACACCACCAAGCACCUCCAAGAGCUGUAAUCAGCCUCCUUCUGCAACCCCACGUAGGUGCAACUCUGCAUCAAGGAUGCUCUAGGACCAUCUCCGUCACCGGCCUACACCACCGUCAAUUGGAUCUGCAGGAUGCAGCCGUGGCGGGCCCUUCCUAUUUUGACUUUCUGAUUUCUCUGUUCAUUGACUGCAAUAUUGUGUUCUUUCUUUUUUUUUUGUUCAGGACCUCAGGGGCCUUAAGACCUAAAGCAGUGAUAUUUGAGUUCAUGGGCUCAA